rnacentral:lncRNA from 1 species
GCGUUUUUUUUGGGGGGUAAAAGGAAUGGAUGCUCGGAAGUAACAAGAAAUAAUAACAAAAUAAAACUCACAAGACUUUUCACUUCUUUUUUUUAUACUUCGAUUUUUUUUCACUUCAAAUACAAUUGAAUAAUACCAAAAUAUCUUUAAAAUUCACGAAAUCCUCUUCUCUUUUUUUUCAAUUUUUUUCUUUCUCUCUCUUUUUUUUGCUCGAUUUUUUUUCACUUUUUUUUUGAAUUUUUUUGAAUUUUCUUUCUUUUUUUUAAUCCAAUACAAUAGUAAGCCAAAUACAAUAAAGAAAAGAGAAAAUAAAAUAAAAUUCAACUCGAGAUUUUUUUUUAUUUUUUUGACUUUUUUUUACCAACCUAUCUUUCGAGAUAGCUACGAACAUCGGU